GAAAGCUGUCAUUUGGACAAGGGACCAUGCUUACCGUUCAUCCAAAUAUCAAAAACCCUGAGCCCUCGGUAUACCAGAUGAAAGACCCGAAAUUCCGAAACACCUCCAUCUGCCUGUUCACUGAUUUUGAUUCUCAGAUCAAUGUGACGCAGGGGUCUGAAGCCAUGGACUCUGAAGUAUUUUACUCUGGAAAAACUGUGCUGGACAUGAGGUCCAUAGACUUCAAGAGCAAUGGUGCAGUGGCCUGGAGCAAAAAAACUGAUUUUGAGUGCACUGGUGUCUUCCAGGAGAAAGUCUCCCUCCCUAGCUCAGAUCAUUCUUGCAAUGCCAAGUUGGUAGAGAAAAGCUUUGAAACAGAUAUGAACCUAAACUUUCAAAACUUGAUAGUGAUCGGGCUCCGCAUCCUCCUCCUCAAAGUGGCAGGAUACAACGUGUUCAUGACCCUGCGGCUGUGGUCCAGCUGAGGUUGGCAAGAUGAUAAGAAGAUCCCGAGCUCCCUCCUUCAUCCCUCCUCUUCUACCCCAUGGAGAAGAAGGCUCCCCUCAUGUCUCUGGCCUCCACGGAAUCCCACCUGAAUUUGCAAUGAAGCUUGCUGGAUUGCUGCUAAUGACUACUGCUUUCCUUCUGUUCCCUCAUGGCGGCUGACAUAGUCAAGUUCAUGUUCACAGCAAACGGGGAGGCUGCGGCAGCGUCUCCUGGCUGUGGAGGACCUCCCUGCCCUCUCCAAAGACUUCCUCUGUGCUUCCAUUGAAUAAUGGGUCUUCCAUAGCAUCUCCAGGAACUAGCAUUCCUAGAAAAUAUUAUGAGCGUUGAUGGAUUUUAUUCAAUAGUGUUCAUAAAAAUAUCUUUAUUAGUGUUUCUCAAGAUGUGGGGAAAGAUGAUCUCAUUGUCUAGGCCCUCUCUGCUCCGCUAUGUAUCCAAGCUAUACUUUGGAUCAUUCUGCUGCCCUUGACUUCAUUAAAAGUUACUUAGAGACCAGAAA